rnacentral:tRNA from 2 species
GGAGAGGUGUCCGAGUGGUUGAAGGUGCCGCUCUCGAAAAGCGGUGUGCGCAAGCACCGUGGGUUCGAAUCCCACCCUCUCCGCCA